UAGGGAAUCUUCCGCAAUGGGCGAAAGCCUGACGGAGCAACGCCGCGUGAGUGAUGAAGGUCUUCGGAUCGUAAAACUCUGUUAUUAGGGAAGAACAAAUGUGUAAGUAACUAUGCACGUCUUGACGGUACCUAAUCAGAAAGCCACGGCUAACUACGUGCCAGCAGCCGCGGUAAUACGUAGGUGGCAAGCGUUAUCCGGAAUUAUUGGGCGUAAAGCGCGCGUAGGCGGUUUUUUAAGUCUGAUGUGAAAGCCCACGGCUCAACCGUGGAGGGUCAUUGGAAACUGGAAAACUUGAGUGCAGAAGAGGAAAGUGGAAUUCCAGGUGUAGCGGUGAAAUGCGCAGAGAUAUGGGGGAACACCAGUGGCGAAGGCGACUUUCUGGUCUGUAACUGACGCUGAUGUGCGAAAGCGUGGGGAUCAAACAGG
rnacentral:rRNA from 1 species